UCAUCGAUCUAAGUUUAAGACUACCAUGAAGAGCUUAGUCCCUGAGAUGUCAGGAGAACAGCCAAAGAAGAGUCUUGAUCCUGUAAGUAUCUGAACACAUUAAGCAUCAAUGCAAGUUAGUCUCAGAAAGUAAUUAUACAAAAGAGUGAUGAACAAUGAUGUCACUUGUGAUUUAGUUCGUGUUCAGCACAAACGAUUGUGACAUGCCAUAGAGAGAUCACAUUGUAUUUGGAUUUAUCUGUUUUAACUUGAAAGCAAAGCCUAUCAUAACUAUUGACUCUUACUGAGCGAUUAAAUACUUCAUUUACAAGGGAAGCAAUUUAUUUGGCAGGUGAUGAUAAUGUCUCCAUAUCGUGUGAGCAUGGAGGGUAUACCAGUGACCCGCUGUGUCCAGAACCCUGGCCAGUAUGUUAUUUUAUUUCCAGGGUCGUAUUACUCUGCGUUUGAUUGUGGCUUCAACUGUUUGGAGAAAGCAAAUUUUGCUCCCGUGGAUUGGUUGCCCCAUGGGAAUGUUGCUGUUCAGCUGAAUCAAGAGCAGAGUAAAAAGUCGUUAAUAUCAUAUGAUAAACUAUUAUUUAGUGGUUCAGGGGAAGCUGUGAAAUGCCUUAAGGAAUAUGCUUUGUCUACGAAAAACCGAGCAUGUUAUAUGAGGUGGAAUAAUUCAUGUGGGACGGAGGGGAUAUUCUCCAACAUUGUCAAGGUAUGCUCACCACUCUUCUGUAUCUGUUGUAUUCCUCAGAUUGUGCACUAAGCUUGUGCAGCGUGAAGGAGCUUCCGCACUACCUUUUUGCUUAUAUUAUCU
rnacentral:lncRNA from 1 species